rnacentral:rRNA from 1 species
ACAAUGCGGGACUAUUCGUCUUGCAAUUGGAUUGAGAACAAUGUACAACUCUUAUCGAUAAGCCAUUGGAGGGCAAGUCUGGUGCCAGCAGCCGCGGUAAUUCCAGCUCCAAUAGCGUAUAUUAACGUUGUUGCAGUUAAAAAGCUCGUAGUUGAAGUGUGGGUGAUCGCUGUUGUGAGACUUCGGUCUCUCGACAGUAAGUCACCCCCUUCCAGUAUCCAGUAGUGGGUAUUCACUUACUUACUACUGUGUGUUGGUCCUUUACUGUGAGAAAAUUAGAGUGUUCAAAGCAGGCGUUUGCUUGAAUAGAUUAGCAUGGAAUAAUAAUUGAAGGCUUUCGUGUUCGAUUUGAUUGGUUUGUUCAUGGAAGCAAGGUUAAAAGGAACAGUUGGGGGUAUUCAUAUUCACUAGUUAGAG